CUCAGACUCCGCCCACUGACACCAGCUCCUCCUGCAGCUCUUAUGAAUGCUGAAGCACAGACUUGAUGUUUGGCACUCCUCCACCCUCAGAUUUGACAGUCAGGCUUCUGUCCUCCUUUCGUCUGACCUACAUCGCUGAUCUGACACCAGGGGAGAGAUCGAAGGGAGAGAAAGGGACAGACUGGAGAUGGGAAACAAACUAAAAUCAAGGGGAACGCAGUUGUGGAGACGGAGACAAUAAUGAAGAGGUUAACUGUGGAGAUAACACAUCCUGCAGUACCGUGAGGUUAACCACACAGCAGCGGGAGCACGGCCUCCGAAACACAUGCAGCAGCUGCUACAGGACAGUUUGGGGGAUUUUGGGGACGUAAACAGGAAGUAAGAUGUCAGCUUGGCUCCAGCUUCAGUCCAUGUUGUUGUAUCAAUGUUUCAGCACAAUGGCAGAAUUAAUCGUACGUUGAAUUAGCUGUUAGCCACUCCUGUUAGCAGCUUC